rnacentral:lncRNA from 1 species
GCCCGGGGGAGACUUCGCUGCUUGUUGGAGAUGCCCAGCGGUAGGGGGCGAGGACUCGGGAGGAAGAGAGCUGAAGGUGUUCCGUGGUCAGUGAGGGCUGGCACUGGCUCUGCACGAAGAUCUCCUCACCUCCCCAGCGGCUCCUGGCCAGCUCCCCACGGAGAGCCCAGGACACUUGUCCCUGGACACAGUGGUGCAGCCAUGCUUGGGCCAAACCAUGAGGCCACCAGAACCGCGAAAGGCUACUCUACUGAGAGGGAUACUGCGAGAGAGGCCCACGGGUUUCCAAGCAUCCCUCUCACUCCGCACACUCAUCUCCACGACCGGCUUUUAAGUGCGGCCUUGAGGCCUGGCUCCCUGUUUGGACUUCUCUGCACCUCCAGGAGCUCCCUUCCCGUCACAGCUGGAUGCCUCCUCCCGCAGGCACCUCCCCGGCAUCCUCCCGCCCCAGGCUGCAGCUUCUGUGGGACUGACCUUAAGACCCCAUCGGUUCCUCCUGAGAGCAGCAGAUCUCAGCCAGAUGCUGCCGGGAGGGAGGUGCUAGCGUCCACACCCAGACAGGGGUCCAGUCCAGCCCUGCUCUCCCUGGUCUCCAGGCAGGGCCCUCCCAGGGUGGACAUUGCCCAUCUCUGCCUGGCCAGGGGCUGCUGACCCACUGGUUCCAGAGUCUGAGCCUGUCCUGCACAAGUACCAUGGACAGGGGUCAGCCGGGCACUGAAGAGACGUGGCAGAAUUGGGCAGGGCAAGGGCCCCAGCUGGCAAGCUGGAGUCAGGGCAAUUCCAACCAAGAAACUGCGGCAGGCUGGGUGCAGUGUCUCAAGCCUAUAAUCCCAGCACUUUGGGAGGCAGUGGGAGAAUCGCUUGAGCCCGGGAGUUUGAGACCAGCAUUGGUAACACAGAGACACCCUAUCGCUACAAGAAAAAAAAAAAAAAAAAAGCUGGGCAUGGUGGUGCACACCUGUUGUCCCAGCUACUCAGGAGGCUGACGUGGGAGGAUUGCUUGUGCCCAGGGGUUGCAGGCUGCAGUGAGCUGUGAUCAUACCACUGCACUCCAGCCUGGGCGACAGAGAACCUCUCUAAAAAAAAAAGGAAAAUGAAA